UGAGACCCUGAUCUACUGGUACCUGGUGGCAGUUAUUUUGCUACUGGUCAUACUGGUCAUCAUCGUCUGCGUGCUAAGAAGGAAGUACACAGAGAAUCAAAUCAGGACCAGAGACAGGAGCAAUGACACCACAGUUCACACAGCUGAGAGUGAGGGAUCAUACAGCUCAAUUGCUUUCAAGUCAAGAAAGAAGAAAUCAGAACAAAGGAACCUGGAGCAG